CAGGGCCUCCCGCACCUGUGCAGCCAGGAGGAUGUGAGUGAAAAGAGCUUUGAAGCAGCAUGCAGAAGUUUGUAGAAAGGGAGCUGAACUCCCUCAAGACGUCCACUAGAUGGCACUAAAUGCACGGCUAAACAAACCAAAGGCACCAUUUCCUGCCCCCUUGCUGAAUAUUCUCCUUCAAGUAAUCUUCCGUGACCAAACCUCCUGAAAUUACACCCAGAGGGAGUCAACUCUUCACUGCAAAGUUGUCUUCUCUGAAAGCAGCCUUUUCAGAAGCAACCUGUCUUCUCUGUGCAAUAAGCGGCUACCUGUCAAGUGGAAUCAAGCCUGAGCCACUUUUGUA